AACGAACGCUGGCGGCAUGCCUAACACAUGCAAGUCGAACGAGACCUUCGGGUCUAGUGGCGCACGGGUGCGUAACACGUGGGAAUCUGCCCUUGGGUUCGGAAUAACAGUUGGAAACGACUGCUAAUACCGGAUGAUGACGUAAGUCCAAAGAUUUAUCGCCCAAGGAUGAGCCCGCGUCGGAUUAGCUAGUUGGUGGGGUAAAGGCCUACCAAGGCGACGAUCCGUAGCNGGUCUGAGAGGAUGAUCAGCCACACUGGGACUGAGACACGGCCCAGACUCCUACGGGAGGCAGCAGUGGGGAAUCUUGCGCAAUGGGCGAAAGCCUGAUGGAGCGACGCCGCGUGAGGGAUGAAGCUUUUCGGAGUGU
rnacentral:rRNA from 1 species